rnacentral:rRNA from 1 species
GGUCUCGUCACUACAAGAUGGGCCCGCGGCGCAUUAGCUAGUUGGUAGGGUAAUGGCCUACCAAGGCGACGAUGCGUAGCCGACCUGAGAGGGUGAUCGGCCACACUGGGACUGAGACACGGCCCAGACUCCUACGGGAGGCAGCAGUAGGGAAUCUUCCACAAUGGACGAAAGUCUGAUGGAGCAACGCCGCGUGAGUGAAGAAGGUUUUCGGAUCGUAAAACUCUGUUGUAAGGGAAGAACACGUACGAGAGUAACUGCUCGUACCUUGACGGUACCUUAUUAGAAAGCCACGGCUAACUACGUG